rnacentral:lncRNA from 1 species
UGGCCUUAAACUCACGUCAAUCCUUCUGCCUCAGCCUCCUGAGUGCUGGGAUUGCAGGUGUGAGCCACCAUUCCUGGCAACACAAUUUUUUUAGAAUGAAGAAGAAAGAUAAGUAUUAGGGAUUUAAGUUGAAUAAUAUUUUUCAAUACUAGUAUUUUUCAAUAAUAUUCAACAAGUCGACAAUGAAUGAACAUCACUGGUAGCUCCAUACAACAGUGCCUCAGAUCUCAUGCACGAAGGCUUCGCCCACGUACAAAGGAACUAUAUCUGCCUGCCUCUAGCUUUCUCUAGCUUCUGAGUUCUAGUUUCUUGAUGAGGAGCAGUGCACCGAGGCACUUGUCUGGGUAAUGUUGCCAUGUGGCCCUCUCCUUACUUGUAAGGGUGGUUUGUCAAAACCAGUUGAAUAGUUAGAGGUGAAGGAGGGUGGGGAGCGAAGGGGGUAAAAUAGAAUCCUGCAACUUUUGUUAACCAAUGCGUUUUGAGUAUGGAGCUUCUGACAUGUUUCCUGGCUUGACUGAUCCCAUAGCAGAAAUGGAGCAGGACCCACUUAACACCAUGAGGAAGGAAAGGAGCUGGAGGAAGCACAGAACAAGCAUUAUUUUAGUGCAAGAUGGUCACAUACUACUAAAGAAAGAUAUCCUG